UCCAUACAUGUCAUUAUAUGUACGCCUAACAUUUAUUAUUUAUUAUAAUAAACUAUGUUACAUAAACAACAGAAUCGCUCAAAUUCCAAACAAUUAAGAAGAGGAAACACAAGCACUAAUUGGAUCUUAAAGUACCAGUUUCCGUUUAUUUUGCAAUGUGAUAAAAUUAUCGUCUGUUGGCUUGUCGUGAUCCCGGCCAUUUGCGUUUAAAUCAACUUAAGAGAAGUGUUUGUUUUUAUCACUGGAUAUAUAAAGCAGUAUAUGCGGCUAUUUCUUUUGGAACUAGAUCUAAGUUCUUAAAGAUCAACGUAAAAUUUCAUCACAUUGAUACAAAUAAAAAUGCAGAAAACUGGCAUUAUGAUUCUAAUUAUCUGCCUGGCAUUGGUGGUUUGUAUUGAAAAAUCUACGGCCAGACGGAAUUGCUGUGCUAGAAGACACUGUGGAAGAUAGGAGCAAUGUGUACAGAUUGGGAGAAGAUGCCGAUGCUUAAGUGCAUGGGCGCAUGCUCUGCGUCGCAAUGACAACCAGUUUAAUGAUGGAAUUCUGACGGCUUAAUGUAUACGUCGUUUUUAUCUCACUUAUUGAUAUAUUAGUCCGCAGAUUAUAUCACUUUGACCAGUGACUGCUGCUGAUACUUCACAAUGGAUACUAGCAGUAUUGACAUUCUAACUGUUCAUCAAAUAGUGAUAUUUUUCUGUCAGCUUGCUAUUUAGUGAUCACUUAGGCAAAUUACUGCUAUAAACACGAAGAUGAACUGAACAGAACAGAACAGAACAAAGUUUUAUUGAUUAUUUAUAUAAACGCUAAUAUUAAGUUUGAUAAAUUCUAACAUUCUAUUAGGUUUAGUGCCGUGACAAUUACUACUGGAGUAACUAAUAUUCUGACAUCAUCAUACUUUAAUUAACCAUAAUUCAGUUACUUUCCACCUUGCAUCUGAUAACCAAGAACACUUUCAUUAAUCUUUAUGUCUGUGUAUAUUUUAGUUCACUCCGUAUCAAAAAAAUAUUCAAAACCCAUAGUUUUGCACUGUUUAACUACCAUGAUUUCAGCACGAUACAAAUAACGACAUCAAAUCUUAACGUUCUGUAUCAGUAUUUUAUAUCAGAUUCUUUAAAGAUAAGGGACAAUUUUUUUCUAUUCUUAACCUUUAGCCUGUGGUUCUGGCUUUGCGACCAGUGCAGACUAUAAGCCUGCACAUCCGUGCAUGCUGAUCAUGACCUGCACUGUUCGCUAUUCAGUCAGUAACUUUUCAGUAAAGACCCAUUCUAACAGUAAAUGGUAUUGCCCAAAUCAAAUGACAGACCAGUCCAUUUUAGAAAUUUAGUAGGCAAACAGUUAAAUGGUUCUAGUAAGAAUUAUCUUCUUUAUUUCAAAUAAUACUCUUUGAAAUUUUCUUAAAACGUUCACAAGCUUGUUAAAAUCGUCAUUAUUUUUUCUGAGUAUUUUAUUGAAAUUUUUUGCAUUUUUUCAACAUUGCAAACUUUAUAAAUUCUGCUUAGAAAUAAACCUUUCUAUUACA
rnacentral:lncRNA from 1 species